UACGAAGGGGGCGAGCGUUGUUCGGAUUUACUGGGCGUAAAGGGCGCGCAGGCGGCUUUGUUUGUCAGGCGUGAAAGCCCCGGGCUUAACCUGGGAACUGCGUUUGAUACGGCAGGGCUAGAGUUCGGGAGAGGAGAGUGGAAUUCCCAGUGUAGAGGUGAAAUUCGUAGAUAUUGGGAAGAACACCGGUGGCGAAGGCGGCCAUCUGGACCGAUACUGAACGCUGAG
rnacentral:rRNA from 1 species